ACGGGAGGCAGCAGUGGGGAAUAUUGGACAAUGGGGGAAACCCUGAUCCAGCGACGCCGCGUGAGUGAAGAAGUAUUUCGGUAUGUAAAGCUCUUUAAGCAGGAAAGAAAAUGACGGUACCUGCAGAAUAAGCCCCGGCUAACUACGUGCCAGCAGCCGCGGUAAUACGUAGGGGGCAAGCGUUAUCCGGAUUUACUGGGUGUAAAGGGAGCGUAGACGGCGAUGCAAGUCUGAAGUGAAAGCCCGUGGCUUAACUGCGGGACUGCUUUGGAAACUGUAUGGCUAGAGUGUCGGAGAGGUGAGUGGAAUUCCCAGUGUAGCGGUGAAAUGCGUAGAUAUUAGGAGGAACACCAGUGGCGAAGGCGACUUACUGGACUGUAACUGACACUGAAGUACGAAAGCGUGGGGAGCAAACAGGAUUAGAUACCCUGGUA
rnacentral:rRNA from 1 species